rnacentral:rRNA from 1 species
UACGUAGGGUGCAAGCGUUAAUCGGAAUUACUGGGCGUAAAGCGUGCGCAGGCGGCUUUGCAAGACAGAUGUGAAAUCCCCGGGCUCAACCUGGGAACUGCAUUUGUGACUGCAUGGCUGGAGUGCGGCAGAGGGGGAUGGAAUUCCGCGUGUAGCAGUGAAAUGCGUAGAUAUACGGAGGAACACCGAUGGCGAAGGCAAUCCCCUGGGCCUGCACUGACGCUCAUGCACGAAAGCGUGGGGAGCAAACAGG